rnacentral:rRNA from 1 species
ACUCAAAGGAAUUGACGGGGACCCACACAAGCGGUGGAGCAUGGGGUUUAAUUCGAUAGUAAGCGAAGAACCUUACCCAGGCUUGACAUGUCAGGAAUCCCGCCGAAAGGUGGGAGUGCCGCAAGGAACCUGAACACAGGCGCUGCACGGUUGUCGUCAGCUCGUGCCUUGAGGUGUACUGUUAAGUCAGCGAACGAGCGCAACCCUCAUCCCCUGUUGAUAUUUCAGGGGAGACUGCCGCCUCCAAGGCGGAGGAAGGUGGGGACGACGUCAAAUCAGCGUGGCCCUUAUGCCUGGGGCGACACCCGUGCUACAAUGGCCGGUACAGAGGGCAGCGAAGCCGCAAGGCGGAGCUAAUCCCACAAAGCCGGUCUCAGUUCGGAUUGUAGUCUGCAACUCGACUGCAUGAAGUUGGAAUCGCUAGUAACCGUGAAUCAGCCACGUCACGGUGAAUAUGUUCCUGGGUCUUGUACACACCGCCCGU